ACCAGUGUGCUGUAGUGGUUUGAAAGUUGGACUAGGAAUUCAGGGGACCAGAGUUCAAAUCCCUGUUCAGCCA